AAAAUUCACUGUGACUGCAAAAGAAGACUGUACUAUGUUUUGUGUUCAACGCCGGUUACUUUUAUAUCCAGUUUUUAUUUUUAAUUACAAACACAAACUUUCAUGAUUAAAGAUGGAACUCUAAGGCAAAGUUGUCCAGUUUGCCAGUAGUAAUGAAAAAGACGCUACCGCUGAUGUAUAGUAAAACCGACGAGACUCAAAAAUCCAUUGCAUCUGU